CCUACGGGAGGCAGCAGUAGGGAAUAUUGCUCAAUGGGGGAAACCCUGAAGCAGCCACGCCGCGUGGAGGAUGAAGGUUUUCGGAUUGUUAACUCCUUUUGUUAGAGAAGAUAAUGACGGUAUGUAACGCAUAAUCACCGGCCAACGCCGUGCCAGCAGCCCCGGUAACACGGAGGGAGCAAGCGUUACUCGGAAUCACUGGGCGUAAAGAGGGCGUAGGCGGGAUAGCAAGUCAGAUGUGAAAGCCUAUGGCUUAACCAUAGAACUGCAUUUGAAACUGGUAGUCUAGAGUAUGGGAGAGGUAGGUGGAAUUCGUGGUGUAGGGGUAAAAUCCGUAGAGAUCAAGAAGAAUACUGAUUGCGAAGGCGACCUGCUAGAACAUAACUGACGCUGAUGCGCGAAAGCGUGGGGAGCAAACAGGAUUAGAUACCCUGGUAGUC
rnacentral:rRNA from 1 species